rnacentral:RNase_P_RNA from 1 species
GGAGGGAAUUCGAUGGAGAAGGAUUAUGGAAAGAAAGUUUCAUUCCAUAGUUUUUCUUCAUAGGAAAGUCCGGACACCGCAGAGCAGGAUUCCGCAUGAAAGUGCGGGGGUUAUCGUUAAAGCGAUGGCUACGGAAAGUACAACAGAAAGAAUACCGCCGCAGGGUAAGGGUGAAAAGGUGAGGUAAGAGCUCACCGGGUAUAUGAGUAAUCAUUACCGCAUUGGAAACCCAAUCCGGUGCAAGACAGAAUAGGGAACGGGGUUGCUCGCCCAAUGGUUCCGGGUUUGUCGCAUCUCCUCCGGGAGAAGCAAUGCAGGUUGCUAGAGAAAUGAAUUCCGGGCCGUAAGGCUUACAGAAUCCGGCUUAUAUCCAAGC